UACGUAGGGGGCAAGCGUUGUCCGGAUUUAUUGGGCGUAAAGAGCGUGUAGGCGGUCAGGUAGGUCCGUUGUGAAAACUCGAGGCUCAACCUCGAGACGCCGAUGGAAACCAUCUGACUAGAGUCCGGAAGAGGAGAGUGGAAUUCCCGGUGUAGUGGUGAUAUGCGUAGAUAUCGGGAGGAACACCAGUGGCGAAGGCGGCUCACUGGCCCGGUACUGACGCUGAGGUGCGAAAGCGUGGGGAGCAAACAGG
rnacentral:rRNA from 1 species